rnacentral:rRNA from 1 species
GACGAACGCUGGCGGCGUGCUUAACACAUGCAAGUCGAGCGGUAAGGCCCGUUUCGGGGGUACACGAGCGGCGAACGGGUGAGUAACACGUGGGUGACCUGCCCUUAGCUCUGGGAUAAGCCUGGGAAACUGGGUCUAAUACCGGAUAUGACUCCAUGACGCAUGUUGGUGGGGUGGAAAGCCUUGUGCGGCUAGGGAUGGGCCCGCGGCCUAUCAGCUUGUUGGUGGGGUGAUGGCCUACCAAGGCGACGACGGGUAGCCGGCCUGAGAGGGCGACCGGCCACACUGGGACUGAGACACGGCCCAGACUCCUACGGGAGGCAGCAGGUGGGGAAUCUUGCGCAAUGGGACGAAAGCCUGACGCAGCGACGCCGCGUGAGGGAUGACGGCCUGGU